rnacentral:rRNA from 1 species
UACGUAGGGCGCAAGCGUUAUCCGGAAUUAUUGGGCGUAAAGAGCUCGUAGGCGGUCUGUUACGUCCGCUGUGAAAACCCAGGGCUUAACCCUGGGCUUGCAGUGGAUACGGGCAGACUAGAGGCAGGUAGGGGAGAAUGGAAUUCCCGGUGUAGCGGUGAAAUGCGCAGAUAUCGGGAGGAACACCGGUGGCGAAGGCGGUUCUCUGGGCCUGACCUGACGCUGAGGAGCGAAAGCGUGGGGAGCGAACAGG